rnacentral:rRNA from 1 species
GACGAACGCUGGCGGCGUGCCUAAUACAUGCAAGUAGAACGCUGAAGCGAGGAGCUUGCUCUUCUUGGAUGAGUUGCGAACGGGUGAGUAACGCGUAGGUAACCUGCCUUGUAGCGGGGGAUAACUAUUGGAAACGAUAGCUAAUACCGCAUAACAAUGGAUGACCCAUGUCAUUUAUUUGAAAGGGGCAAAUGCUCCACUACAAGAUGGACCUGCGUUGUAUUAGCUAGUAGGUGAGGUAACGGCUCACCUAGGCGACGGUACAUAGCCGACCUGAGAGGGUUAUCGGCCAAACCGGGACUGGGACACGGCCCAGACUCCUACGGGAGGGAGCAGUAGGGAAUCUUCGGCAAUGGGGGCAAACCUGACCGAGCAAAGCCGCGGGAGGGAAGAAGGUUUUCGGAUCGUAAAGCUCUGUUGUAAGUCAAGAACGAGUGGGAGAGUGGAAAGUUCACGCUGUGACGGUAGCUUACCAGAAAGGGACGGCUAACUACGUG